CUUUUCCGUGCUCCUUUCUUUGUAGGAAGAAGCAGAAGUUUUAACCAUCUUCCCAUGGCAUCUGACUUUUUUGAAGAGGAGGACUUUUCAGCCACUUGAUUGAAGGGAAAUAAGAAGUUUGUUUCAAGACUCUUAUGUCAUUCAUCAGCUCUGUUAACAAAAGUGGGGCUUGAGGAUACAUUUGCUGCUUCUUUGCAUUUUUGCUGAAGGUGCUGCAGUAUGGUGGGAGCUCCUGUAGCUGGAAUCUGGCCUCCAGUGUGGGUGUUAGAGCCACGAGAGAAGCAGUGAGAUCCACAGUGGGGAAAAUGAACCCAGCAGUCCAUCCUAUCCUAUACCUGCCUGAAUAUGGGAAAAGACCUAGUACAAAGCCAGAAUGCAGCUGGGUUGCAGUCUUUUUAACCAUAUUAAGUCCUGUUCAGAGUUAAUGUCCUCUCCAGAUGAUCUCAAUGAGAUGGUCACAGCAAUGCUGAAGAAAGGAAGGGCAGAAUUGGAAGGCAAGAGCUACUUCAAAGCAAGAUUCUUCAUCUUUCUGUAAUGCCCAAACAUGAAGACUUUAUAAACUUCAUUAGAUCCUGUCAUCAAUGAAUGAGCCUCCCUGAAAUCAUCCUAUCAGUUACUGCCAAGAUGAGAAGGAUAACAGGAAGGAAGGAGUGCUUAAGUGGCUUUAAUAACAGUUAAUUUAAUACGUUUAUCAAAUGACAGGUUGCUUUUUCCUCAAAACUCGAUUGUCAUGACAAGAUGCUUUUGGAAGUCAUCUUUGUAAAAUAAAACUGACAAUUUUUAAGGUAUAAAGUGCUAUUGUAUUUUUCUUUAGAAUGUUGUCAUUAUGGUAAACUGCUGGAAAGUCUUUAUUUUUGAAGUAAUUUAACUUGCAUACUUCAUUCAUUUAUUUGAAUGUCUGUUGAAUGCUGUGUGAAAAAUUUCUUGCCAGAGUUUUUAUUCAAUGGAAUAGUUACUGUUACAGUGCUCAAUUUAUUAUUGUCUAAAUUACUGUUGCCCUAGCCUCCUGCAAAAAUGUUUUUUUUUAGUUAUUCUUAAACAAAUAAAGAAUGAAUGAGGUUCUG